ACAGGACAUCAGAUGCAAUGAACGAAUAAUUUCAUACCAGCGUAGUGGUGGAAGGGCUGGACUGUAAAACCUAUCACAUUAUACGUGUUUCAUAUCAGGCCAUAUUGAUAAUUAUUAAUUAGUUUUUUUUUUUUGUUUUAAAUAUCUGAAAUACUUCCAAACUGGUGGUGUGACCUUUCCUGUUUUAUCCACAGUUUUCACUCCACACCGCUGUUUUUAUUUAUAAGGAGUUAUGAGGGACAGUAGUGAACAUGAAACUGCUGCUGCACUAGUUACUCACAAGUUGUUGCUAGGUAACCAAAGAAGUGAGUCAGUUGUUUCCACCAACUUUGCUUGUCUGGCCGUGAGAAGUUGAGCGGCUAAAGCCUUUCCAAUGCCGCCACCUCCCAGAAUGCUGUGCUGUUCUGAAUCAGAGUUCAGUGAAAUUACUGAAUUUUCUAUUGAUUUUGAUCACAUGUCAAGUGUGAUACAUGUUAUUGAUUUAUUGUCCAGUGGUGUUAAAGAACAUUUACAUAGAUCAUAGUCAGCGUCUGUUUCAAUAAAUUAGAAAAUUCCUGUAGGAUCCAUUGGAUGUUAUUAAUAACAACAUGAUUUGUGCCACACUUUCUAUUAAAAUGGCUGCUUUAUUUAACCAACUUUAAUGGAGGACUACAGCAGGGUUUACCAAAUUUGUAUGGUUCUCCACAUAAUCUAAAUGUGGCCAUUUGUGGUUUAGUUAGAAGACAGUGGGAUCAUUUCUAUGUCUUAAUAAAAAAAUGCUUGAUCUUGUCCUGAAAUGCCUUUAGUCUAGUUCAGAUCUUGUUUCUCAAAGAAAACUUGGUUUACAGCAGUGGUUAAGAAACAUAAAACCUCAAUGUAAUAUAACCUUUAGCUGUAAUAAUAAAUUU